rnacentral:rRNA from 1 species
UCGGGGGGCUUAAACAUGCCAGUCGGACGGGCUCUUCGGAGCUAGUGGCAGACGGGUGAGUAACACGUGGGAACGUACCCUUUGGUUCGGGACAACUCUGGGAAACUGGAGCUAAUACCGGAUACGCCCUUUUGGGGAAAGGUUUACUGCCGAAGGAUCGGCCCGCGUCUGAUUAGCUAGUUGGUGGGGUAACGGCCUACCAAGGCGACGAUCAGUAGCUGGUCUGAGAGGAUGAUCAGCCACACUGGGACUGAGACACGGCCCAGACUCCUACGGGAGGCAGCAGUGGGGAAUCUUGCGCAAUGGGCGAAAGCCUGACGCAGCGAUGCCGCGUGCGGGAGGACGGCCUUCGGGUUGUAAACCGCUUUCAGCAGGGACGAAAUUGACGGUACCUGCAGAAGAAGCUCCGGCCAACUACGUGCCAGCAGCCGCGGUAAUAAUCGGAUCCCGGGUCCGUCUUCUGCAGAGGC